rnacentral:tRNA from 1 species
GAAGGUAUAGCUCAGUGAUGGAGUGUGUGCUUAACAAGCAUGAGGUCCUGGGUUCAAUCCCCAAUGCUGCCA